CAGAUGUUUCCGAGGAGACGAAGCAUUUAGUAGCAUAUCAUGGUGGGUUAAGAUAAAAUGAUCAAGCCUAGUAAACUUCUCGCCUGAUAGUGCUAACCUAUAGGUUGUAACUGUUUUAAGCUUUCCUUUUUGUGUAGAGGCCGGCCAUGCCUUAGUGGGCGCUCUCAUGCCUGAAUAUGAUCGUGUGCCCAAAAUUUCAAUCUGAUUUUUCUUUCUUAAAUUUACAGCAAGUGAUAUUUUCUGCUGAUAAAACAAAACUCGCAUUGGUAAAUCACGACCUCCUUUGUUUUUUGCGCUUCUCCAAUGGUUAGUUGCCUUAAAUUUUCUAUUAUUGUGAAUUAUUUGGGUUCAGGUUAACAUUUACAAAUAACAGAUAAGUUAUGGUAAAUUCAUGUUAUGAUUAUUGUACUUAUUCAAGUUGUGCUUUGAGAUGUCUUUGGAGGCAUGGUUGCCUGUAGUGGACUAAUACGAGUACUUGCUAUGUUCUUUCUGGUGAUUAGAUUAUAUCCUAGCAAUCAAUCAUUGUAGUCUUGUUCUUUUUGUAAAGAGUUCUUUGCUUGAACAAAAUUGUGAUGGUCCUUUCUCUUUUAGUUUUUACUUUCUCCUCUAUAAGUAGAUGUUUUUAACUUACAGUAUAUUUGAUAUCUUUUUACCUUCUAUAAUGGUUCAGGUCAACGAUACAGUUGGAACCCUAGCUAGAGGUAGGUACCAUAAAGAUGUAAUUGCUGCUGUUAUAUUGGGUACUGGAAUAAACGCAGCUUAUGUCGAACGUGCUAGUGAAAUUCACAAGUGGCAUAUUGGCAUGGUCCUUUUCCCAAAUCAGGGGAGAUGAUAUUUGAGAAAAUGAUAUCAGGAAUGUACUUGGGUGAGAUUGUGCGAAGAGUCUUGUAUAGGAUGGCAGAUGAGGCCAGCCUUUUUGGUGAUACAGUCCCAUCAAAAUUGAAAACUCCAUUCAUCUUAAGUGUGACUUAAGCUAGCUCAAGGAGAUGGUUAAUUACCUCAGUUCAGUCCUGCAGACGAACUGCCAAGCUAGUCUACCACCAGUAGACAAUUGCACCGAUAUUGUCCCUACUGUUGCUGUAGAAGUUGAUGUUGCUGCAGAAGUUGUUCUUGCUUCAGAAGCUGCUAUUGUUGCUGCUACACCAUCCCCAGUUGCUGCUGCUAUACAAUCCCCAAUACGUUGUUGCUGCUACCAUUCUACCAAAGCUCUUCCGCUACAAUUUUUUUAUUUUUUUUAUUGAUAUUGGAUUUUGUUUUUGCCGUACUUGUGUAGAUCAUUUAUAUUUUGUCAAUGAAUAAUAGGAUCUUGUUAUUGAAUGAACAAUAUUAUUUUAUUAUUGAAUGAAAUUAUUUUCAGAAAGAUCUCGUGGAUAUCAUUUCUAUUUUAUCUAUUAAGAUUUGGUUUACAUAUAGGACCUAGAAUCGUAAUAUCCUAUUUUAGGGACGCGUGUGCAACUAUAAU